GAUGAACGCUAGCGACAGGCUUAACACAUGCAAGUCGAGGGGCAGCACAGGUAGCAAUACCGGGUGGCGACCGGCGCACGGGUGAGUAACGCGUAUGCAACUUACCUAUCAGAGGGGGAUAACCCGGCGAAAGUCGGACUAAUACCGCAUGAAGCAGGGGUCCCGCAUGGGGAUAUUUGCUAAAGAUUCAUCGCUGAUAGAUAGGCAUGCGUUCCAUUAGGCAGUUGGCGGGGUAACGGCCCACCAAACCGACGAUGGAUAGGGGUUCUGAGAGGAAGGUCCCCCACAUUGGUACUGAGACACGGACCAAACUCCUACGGGAGGCAGCAGUGAGGAAGAUUGGUCAAUGGCCGAGAGGCUGAACCAGCCAAGUCGCGUGAGGGAUGAAGGUUCUAUGGAUCGUAAACCUCUUUUAUAAGGGAAUAAAGUGCGGGACGUGUCCCGUUUUGUAUGUACCUUAUGAAUAAGGAUCGGCUAACUCCGUG
rnacentral:rRNA from 1 species